AAUAAUUUAAUGUCAUAUCAGUAUUUUCAUCCUGAAUUUCAGGAUUUUCAUGCUAAAAAAAAUCAAAUCCAAAUGAAAAUCCUAAAAUUCAGGAUGAUUUUGUUAAUGUGGCAUUAAACUAUU
rfam:Gossypium hirsutum cultivar TM-1 chromosome 6, whole genome shotgun sequence